CAGGAAGGCAAAGGAAGAAGUCUCCUUUAUCUCCAUCCUAAUGCCAUUUAGAAAGAGGCUGUAAUGAAUCCUGGAGUACAAAUGUGCUGUUUCCUCUGUGGAAGUUUCUGAGUUCGUACUGAUGUCUUGUGGAAUGGAGGGCUCCCAUACUUCAUUCUGUCUUCAGGAAACUCCUGCAUCUACAGAUAAAGGUAGCAUUCCUUCUCUAUAGCUGCUUGCUGAAUCUCUGCUGGAGAGAACUGCCACAGGAGCCCAGCUCCUACUGGCAGAUGAAUCUUCCUGCACUGGCCUUUGCCACGUUGAAAGCUUGUUUCUUUGUCUCUGCAGGCAUGUACAUGUGCUGGGAUAUGAUACAACAGCUGUUUUUGAGGGGACAGAUCUACCCUAUCUGUGGAAACCAAGGAAGGAUUGGUGUAUAUGGAUUAUGGCCAGGAAAGAAACAGGAUCCAGAACUGGUGUUUUAGAAGACAUAUAGAAGGACAAGCAUAUGGAUAAAUGCCACAGAAAUAUCUUCAAAAUAAUCCAGAAGCAAAACUCUUAUUGAAAAUGGGAGAUGUUAAGUACUGAUAACCUGUCCACAGUGAAUAGAAGAUGACCAGGAGUGGAAGAUCUCCCCGACUUUGAGUUCUCCUCCCAUCACCAGGAUGCUGCUGACCUGCUCUCUGCUCUGCACUCAACUCAGUGGUGGGACUUCCAGAGGCUGCCUUCACCAUUUCCUUCAAUUAUGUUCUCCAUAAAGCCCUACCUCAGCUCUCCCAGAGUCUCAGCUAUUCAAGUUACUCCAGGGGAACCUAUAACACAGAUGUAUGGGAAUUGUUGAAUCACGGCCUGAACCUCUGAUUGACCACCUGAGCUGCUGAGGAUCUGGAUCCAGAAACGGAAGGGAAAAAGAAAUAGCUGAAGGAAAACAGUUUUCUUUUGAGAGCGUUCAGCAGAUUUUGCCACAAGUAAAACCAUCAGGAUGUGAGCUGAAACCUGUGUCAGUGUCCACAGUGUUUGAAUAGUCUGGUUUUAAUAGAAACAUGAAAACGCCAUAUGGAGCCAGACAACCAUUUCCUUCCUUCAGUGUGUUUGUCCAUGUUUAAGUGGAGCACAGCAACAUUUCUGUGACUUGCUUCUUGUUGGUGCAUUGGAGAGUUGAAGAAAUGGAGUAGCCUGGAUUGGUCCUUGAUAUGCAAUCACUUCAUGGAGUACUGUACACAGGACUAUGCACCAUUAGCCAAGCCUCCCAGUCAGCCAAAUGUGUGCCAGGGAAGGAAUUACGUCUUUUCAUUAGGAGGGUAACAGUAUGAAGGCAUUACAGGACACAGCGUUGAGUGCCACCAGUCUUGGAAUUGAACAGUGUGACAAAUGGUACAGCUGGGGACCAGACAUUCAGAGCAAUGCUUUCUUUCCAUCCUGGGAAACUACAGAUAUUUGCUUUGUUCCAGGUAUAUAUUGGACAUUUCUGAAUUUUAAGCACUGAACCAUUACUUAUUAGUUUAUCUUCCAAUCCUCUGUUUCAUGUCACAUAUCUGCUACAGGGAAUGUCAUUGAAAAGCUUAGACGCACUAUUCUGACUUAAAUUCCUGUUCUCUGGAGAGCAAGAUGUUGGUUUAUGAGCAGGAAUUGAGCAAUCCAACUGCAUGAUGCUUGUAUUGCCAUAUUAAAUUGAAAGCAAGGAGCUGUAAGUAGGGCUGACAUUUCUGUCUGUCAGCCACACACAACAGAUAUGAACUGAGAGCAAACUGAAGGGAGGCAGAAAAGGGUGAAAAGGGCACCCUCCCAAAGCAGAAGGAAGCCAGAUGGAGUGACACCACAGAUAGAAAGAGAUUCAGUGUAUGGGACUGUGCAGUGGCUGUGUAGAAGGAAACAGAAAACGGAAGGAUCUGAGUAUGGAUGGAAAUGAGGAGAAAGAAAACAUAAUGAAGAGUAAUGGACAAGACAAAAAGAAAGAUUAUGCCUGAUACCAUGGAAGAGAUAUCCUGCUGUUGACAUCUGCUCAGCUCAGGAGGAGUCUCCCUCAGAAAGAUGUUGAAAUACUCUCAUUCAACACAUUUAAAAAUAGACUAAACAAACCCCAGUGAGCCAGACUCUCCUCCUCGUACACACACAGGGCCAUAACUCAUGCCUGCAGUUGUCCUUUGAAGCCUGGGAACCCUUGUAGAAUGAGAGGGGCUGAGCUGGAUGCAAGGCAGAAAUCUGGUCCUGGGUCCUGCACUGUCACAGACAUGGAUCAGAUGAAUGAUUGUCUCUUUUCAGGUCAGAAACGCCACACCGACACAUGGCUUCCUGCAAAGACAUGAACUCAAGGAAGGGACUUAAAGUACAGCAUGUGUCAAAGGGCUUUGCAGAAGCUGCAGGAGGGCUCCAUACAGCAAAACAGAGGAGCACUCACUUCCAUUCAAUCUCGGCAGAGCCCUGAUAAAUGCAUAAACAAACUUUUUUCCUUCUUACACAGUUCUGAGUGAUGACAGUAUCUCUACGAUCUUCAAGAGGAAGUAAUCAUUUGCUGAUAAACAUCUCCUCUCCAAAUGUACCUAGUAAAAAGACACAUUCUUUUGUAUAUAUUUAAUUACAGGAGAACAGAUUUUGUCCAAAUAAUUAGGUAAUUUAAACUAUGCAGUCUUUCCCAAAGAACUAUAUUUAACCUUCAUUUGAAUUUAAUUUCCACAUCACAGUGCCCCUUAAGCGGUUCUGUAAGUCAAAACAGUGAUCAAAUAUUUUUUAAAUGUCAAAUGUUGCUUAAUUGUGGAUAGCACUGAAUUUGUUUUAAGAGAUAACAGCUUUUGAUCUGCUGCUAUUUUUUGUCUGUCCUAUUGUCAUGUUUCUCUUCAUCAGAAGUUUCUGUCAACUGUUUAAUCCAUACAACACCCGACUUUCCAGACAGCUGAAGAUUUCAAAGAAGAAAUGUGGGGAACCCUUCAAAAGUUUCAUGAAGUAUUAAACAGGAUGUGGAUUAGUGUCUUGCUACUACAGACCCCAGCACUUGCAAGAGGAGGAAAAAAAAGCGUUUUUAAAAUUCAAGUAUUAUUAAGGGAUUAUAAUGUUUUUGCCUGAAUUAAGGGUAGUGCUGUAAAGAAUAAUUUUACAGCAUUAAUAUAAAUCAGCAGAACUUUAUUGGCUUUAAUACACCUAUUCUGAUUUGCACCACUCAUGAUCAGGCUCCUUAUAUCUAAAUGUAUCUUUUGCUCCAUGGAAGUAGAUCAUUUUUCUCCUAACUUGCUCUUUCCUAUUGUCUUGCCCCUGUAAAUUAUAUAUAUUAGGUUCAUAAGCAGUGUAGUGAAAGUAAACAGGAAGAGAGUCUCACAGUUUGAAUGAAUUAUAACAAAAACUACAGUAGGUCUGACCUACAUUAAGCUAGUUCAGUAGAACAAUCUACACACAAAGUGGCUUGUAUUUCAGGGUUGGCUCUAAGGUUGAUUCUCAGUUAAAAAAAAAAAAAAAAAAGAAUGAUUCCAAAGAAUCACAAGUCUUAUCAGUCUCUUUGAAACAAACAAAAGCCAACAUACACUCCACAGCUCAGUUGUAAAAACAAUAGAGCAGGAAGACUUUCCUGUAACAGCAUCUCCCACUGGGCGAUAGCAGUUGAAAGUACUUACUAUGAUUAUGAUUAAUUUCAUUAGUGCUCAGUUCACUUUAAUACUUUUCUCCCUCUAUCUCUGAAUGCAGAUAAUUUUUCCCUGCAAGUAAAUCCAGGGUGACAGUUUAAUAGGCUCAGACAUGCUUAGAUCCGAAAUGAGACUGUAAUAUUAAUAUACUAUUGACCAGUUAUAGAUUAAGCAAACUGAGGGCACACUUAAGUAAAUGACUUCAGAGGGACAAGUUAAUGUGCUAAGUGGUUCACAGGCAAUGAUUAAAAAUAUUCUUCAUUUACUUGGAAAUUAAUAGGUUUCUUUAAUUAAUCUAAUAAAGCCACCCUGUGGUAUGUUACAUAUUUGGUGUAUGUUUUAAAAGAAGAUGCUGAGUUGCUGGAUCUGGAAAUCCCUGUUCUGCUUACUGAAGAAAGGAAGCAGUCAUAUAUAAAAGCAGCCUUGCACAUGGCUAGAAUUUCCAACAAGCCAUCUUCUUUGCCACAAGUAGGAUUACAUUGCAUGACGGGUGUUAUGAAUCUCAAUGUUAAGCAAUCAACAGCACCAGCAAUUCCAUGUGUGAAUUGCAGAAUCAUCCAAGUAUCUUCAGGGAUUGUUAGUGUAUUUCACAACUGCAUCCAGUCAAAUGAGCACUUUUCUCCUCCAACAGUCUUUCAAAUCCAACUGGUCAACCAAUUGAAAGAAAACAACACAAUCUUUGCAACAACAGCAAUUUAUAUGCCGAGAAGUGCUAAAGCCUUGCAAAGGAUUAUGGGGUAAGGAAAUGAUGAAAUCAUCUACAGGCAUUGCAUGAGUUUUAUUUAAUCAGAAGGUGCUCAGGUAGUACGGUUAUCUGAAAUAUAAAUAGCCCAUCACCACCAGCUUUAUAAUGGAGAGAUGAGUUUAAAAGAUAGUGUCUCAUUAAUAGUCUUUCUGUGGUUUGCCUUGCAAGGGCACUGAGAGGCCUUUCCUGCUGAACAUUGUACAUAUAUCGGGAUGGGAUCACACUGGCUCCCAGAGCCAGGGAUAAGAAGAGAUGUUUACCCAGCCCAACCGGAGUUCCUCCAGUGGACAGUGACACAAUUUGCAGAGUUAAGACAGGUCUACUCAACUGAGAGACUUCAUCAAAUCCCACUGUGAUUAUUUCUUCGGCAAAUCAAAAAGAGGCCUUGGUUAUUGUUCUGCCUCUUUGACCAGCAUCCUGUCAUGUGAUCACUCCCACUCUAAUGAAGUUUGAUCUGAGAGGGCUGCUACUGUGCUAUUCUGAAAAUCAGAAGCACUUUGAUAUGACCACUUCAAGGCCCAAAGAAACUACAAAAUGGGGACUAAAGUUUCCAUCUUCUCCAUCACCCCAUUUUUUUUCACCUUGCCCUAAUUACUGCAAAUAGGAUUCUUUCUCUUUGGUUUUACCAGAAGUUUUCUCAUCCAUAUAGUCCAACAGGAGAUGCUACUCUUGCUUCUCUUACCUAUUCCACAGCAAACCACAUGAACUAGACAUAGGGACUGUUUUCCCAGAACUCACUGGGGGGAAUCAUUACCAAAAAUGUCAGACUAUCACGUUUCUACUUCCCUGGCAGAAACUACUCUGUAUUUAGUGACCUGGCAGCCAUGAGGAGUGUCUGAUGGAGUACAGUACACAGUAGCUAUAAGAGUCAAAGAAGAGGAGGAGAAAAGGAUGUUUGACUUGGGACUCCAUGUUAAAAGCUCCUGCAGAACCAGUCCUUAGCUAUUGUUUACAGCUGGCUGUCUUGCCUCAGGAACAUUUGCAUUGAAAAACUUUCAAAGUUUUCUUUCCAAGUAAGCUGAGAAAAACAACUUGGAUUCAUUCCAUUUAUCAUGGAUGUGGAUGUAUGUGUGUGUGUUUUCAUGGUAGGUGGGAAAGGGAGGAGAUGGAAAUCCUUUCAACUUGCUGACACAUUCUCCAGUGGAUGGAAGUGGUGCUUGAAAUCCAUGGAGCCAGGUUGGGUUCCAACUGCCAAGAACCUGGUCUAGGCAGCUAUAAUGUUGUGCAGAGCUGUGGUUUGAAGAAACCUGAACAUGGCCAUACAGACAGAAAAGAUGAAAGAGGGAUUUGGUAGCCAGUCCUGUUUCUUUCAUGUGUGAAGGACAGCUGUGCAGCUGCAAGGAGUGAUGCUGGCAAACUCAUCGGAUAUGUACAUUUUCUCUCUUUUGUGGGUUGGAUCAUAACAAUUAACUUCUCUGAAUGUUUGUGGUGAGUCUAAUCUCAGGCGUGUCUGCUCCUUUGCAUUUGCAGCUGAGGGUGGCAAAUAAAAUGGCUAAGCAUUGCUGUGGGCUAUUUUGUCACCAAGCCUGGAAUGAGGCAUCCUGCGAGAGACCUGGAAAAACCAUGCUUCUGAAGUAGACCACAGGUAGACAGGGCUUGCUGCAGGCAAGCUUUGUGAAUUUGUCUUCCCUCUUGGAGAAAGAAGAAGAAAAAAGAGAAAAAACAGAGUAUCUUGUUUCCUUCAUGCCUGAAAUAAGCUGAAACGGGGAGCUUUGCAUUCCUGUGUUUACAAAUGUAGAGGUGAAAAGAGAUUUCAUUAAUGUCAGCUUGGUAGUGAUUCUUUAAGUCUUUUACCUCAAAUGGUCACCUCCUGGAUGCAUUGGGGGUGCGAGGCAUCACUUAAUUGCAGGAGACAUGGAAGUCCAUAAAUCAAUGGCAUGCAAAGGAUAGAUGAAGGGG